CCAGCAGCCGCAGUAAGACGGAGGAUGCAAGCGUUAUCCGGAAUGAUUGGGCGUAAAGCGUCCGCAGGUGGCAGUUCAAGUCUGCUGUCAAAGACCGGGGCUCAACCUCGGAAAGGCAGUGGAAACUGAACAGCUAGAGUAUGGUAGGGGCAAAGGGAAUUCCUGGUGUAGCGGUGAAAUGCGUAGAGAUCAGGAAGAACAUCGGUGGCGAAGGCGCUUUGCUGGACCAUAACUGACACUCAGGGACGAAAGCUAGGGGAGCGAAUGGGAUUAGAUACCCCAGUAGUCCUAGCCGUAAACGAUGGAUACUAGGUGUUGUCUGUAUCGACCCGGACAGUGCCGUAGCUAACGCGUUAAGUAUCCCGCCUGGGGAGUACGCACGCAAGUGUGAAACUCAAAGGAAUUGACGGGGGCCCGCACAAGCGGUGGAGUAUGUGGUUUAAUUCGAUGCAACGCGAAGAACCUUACCAGGACUUGACAUGUCGCGAAUCCUUUUGAAAGAGAGGAGUGCCUUAGGGAGCGCGAA
rnacentral:rRNA from 1 species